rnacentral:piRNA from 1 species
UUGGCGAUCAAACAGGUGGUGAGAAUGUG